CGCCGACGUCUGGCUGCCACGACUUGCCGUCUGCGGCGGCGGCGAGCGGAUCCCGCAGGGGAAGGAGGAGGAGGAGGGAGAGCCAAGGGGGCUGUGAGUGAGCGGGAGAAGCAGGGUGUGAGCCGGACUUGCCCGCGGGAGGGAGAACGAGCGAGAGCCGGGCCAGCCAUCCGAGCCGCCUCCUCCUCCUCCCCUCGGCGUCCCGCCCCCGCCUGCCAGCCCGCCCUCCUUCCUCUUCAGCCGGCUGAGCCCGAGUGAGGCGCCGCUCAGCUCGCGCUGCUGUCCAGGACAGGUGUGCGCGCGCGCGCCCUCCCCCCCCUCCUCCCCCCCCCCUUUCCUCGCGCCAGCCUAGCGCCUGCCUCGCGCGCGCCCUCCCUCCCUCCAGCCCGCGCCCUCCCUCACCUGCGGCAGGACAGCGCCCGCCCGCCAGGGAGCUAGUCUGUGGAGAAGGAAGUUUGGUUUUGAUUUACAAGUCUCCAGAGAAAGGGAAAUUCCUUUACCUCCGCUUUUGUUGGAGCAGCCAGUUGUCACUUCCUGGAGCUGUUGCUGGUCUCUCAGAUGGCCCACAGAGCUCCCUCCAGCCAGAGAACACCAGAGUACGGGACACUGAAGGACCUCCCUGUUCCAGAGGGUGCAGCAGGGAUAACGUCAAACCCAUGGAUGGAAGGAGGCUCACUGCUGUUGUAAAGAAACUUGGUGAAAUUCCAGCAACUUCUACCACUGGCCCCACUGCUGAGUCCUGGGAUUUGAGGUCAAAUUCUAGAAAAGCGCCACAUAGGAUGUACUCCCUGGCCACG
rnacentral:lncRNA from 1 species